UAGAAAAGCAUUUAAAAAUUAAAAAACAAAACAAAACAAAACAAAGGAAGGAUCUCGAGAUGACAUUAUCCUGGAUUAUCCAGUCAGGCCCUAAGUCCAAUGACAAGUGGCCCCAUAAGAGAGAAGGAGGAGAGAGCCACGUGAGGGUGUUGUGAUACAGCCAUAAGACAAAGGGCACUUGGAGCCACCGGAAGCUGGGAGACACAAGGAAGGAUUCUUUCCUAGCGCAUCCGGAGGGAUCAGAGGCCUACUGACACCUUGACUUUGGAACUUCUGGCCUCUAGAACUGUGAGGAAGUGAAUUUCUGUUGUUUUAAGCCACCAUAUUGGUGGAAAUUUGAUACAGCAGUCUCAGGAAAUGAAUCCAGGUGGAAUAACCAAUUUUGACCUCAUCUGGGAAAUCCAGGAAGGCUCCGGGAGGAAGUGACUUUUGAGCUGGCCAAUGUGGGAUAAGUAGCAAUUAAGCUGGCAAAAGGGGCUGUGCUGCAGGUGAGGGGAGGGACGGGGAGGGGGAGAAGUGUUCCAUGAAGACGCCGCAUGUGCAAAGGCCCUGCGGUGCAAGGGGCUGGACUUGCUGCAUCCACAGCCCCUUUCGGUUUUGCGGGAGCAUCAAGCUCUGUCCUACCUCAGGAUCUUUGCACUUGUUCCCUCAGUCCGGGAUGCCCUUUCCUCCACCUCUUCCACAUGUCUGGCUCCUUAUCCUUCCAAGCCUCGGCUGAAAUGAGAUGUCGGGCACAGCGUUUUAUGACCAUCCUCACUAAGUAUAUCCCCUCUCUUACUCUUUCCCUCUCCACCCAUUGGUUCCCUUCAUAACACGGAAAAUAAUAGUAAUGACAGUAGCGAAGACUGAGCCCUCAGUAUGACCUAGGCAUUGUGCGGACUGCUCUACGAGUACCCGUCUGAUUUAACCUUCAUAACAAUCCCGUGGGACAAAUGCCGUUUUCUUGUUGUCGUGAGAUCCCCAUUUCACAGACGGCAGCACUGAGGCACAGAGAGCUCAGGUUACAUGGUAGCAAGGGAAGGAGCUGGGAUUUAAACCCAAGCAGUUUGGCACACGUUCAGCAGAUACUUGACAGAGGUUUGAGCCUUCCUGAGAGCAGUGUCCCCAAGAUGGCCCACAGCGGAGCCCACAGGUCCUGGGCCCCUGUGCGGGAAUCAUCGGUCCUCCAUCCCAGUUCUUGCCCGACCCAGCGUCCUCAAGAGUAGAGGACCUGAGAGCCCCUCUUGGCCUCCGUCCACUCCUUCCCUGCAGGUGGAGGGGAGGAGACCCCAGUGCAAUGUCGCCAAGGUGCACAGGGGGUCACCGCUGCCCGAGAAACUUCCUCCCACCACACUGGUGGGCCCAGGGUAUUAGGGGCUGGAAGGACUGGAGUUCAGGGACGAGUCCCAGCGCUUCGUCUCCUGGGAGCCGAGGCCCCUGUCUUCCGGGAGGCCAGGAUGUGUGGCCACGUGUAUCUGGAAGCACUAGUCAGCUCCGUGGGCAGCCACGCCGAGGUACCGGGGCUUAGCCCCGGCGCGUCCGUCCCCCUCACGCGGCCCAUCUGCGGUUCAGGAGGAGCUGGGCUCAGCUGGGCCGGGCUUCCAGGCUGCAGAGGAGGCUCAGGCUUCCACACCUUCGCCUUUGGCCUCCUGGCACCAGCAGGCUGCCCAGGGCAUUCUCUUCCCAUGCCAGUGCCCACGGCCAAGGCACGAGACACCAGCCAAGUGCAAAAGCGUAUUUAGGACUUUGCACAGGCUGCGUCCGCGAGCACACCGUUGGCGCAAAUCCAACUCCCAUCCAAGCUUCACCUCGGCGGACCAGACACCGCGCCUCUAGGGGCGGGAAGGCGGCAGAGGGCCUGGACGAGGGAGGAGGUGAAGGUGGGGCCCGGUCUGCAAUCUUCUUCUCGUGCCGCCUGUCUACACGUGGGGGCUCCCGGGCCUGCUUUUCUCAGCCAGUCCUGCUUUCGGUUGGGGGCUCGGAGCCGGCCGGGAGAGUAUCCGGGGAAAGGACCACACUUCAGGUUUAUUUAUGAAAAAAAAAAUACUGCGGUAUUUUGCAGAGGAAGAAACAUGUUCAUCAAAGCAUAUGGAUCUCGACAUACUAACCAUCAUCAACUGUAAUCAAGUAGCUGGUCUGGCUUCUUUCGCUUAGCAGAGUGUUUCUGACGUCCACCUGGCUUGUAGCACGGGUCAGUGCCUGAUCGUCUUCUCCAUCACCUCCGCUCCUGGGCUGGUGGGAUGUGAGCAAGGACCUGCUGUCAGUCAUCCUGGGGAAACACCAACCUGAGAGUGAAGCCAACAGAGAUGAAAAAUAGAAAAGAACCCAGUAUUGAUGCUCUCUUAGAUGAAUCAGAAUGUGAGGCGUUAUCUGCAAAUUUCUCCUCUCUGCUGGAUACUGCUAAGAAAGGAGAAAAGAGGAUGGACAUGAGACCCUGCACCCUGACCCCUGUGACUGAUGGCUCUUGAGAGGGGCAUAUGCCGCAAGCUGAGCCAAUCGAAACGCUUCUCUGGGAUUUUUCUCUCUGGAGCUGGAGGUAAAGGGGAAGCCAACUGCUAUGCUUGAUUGACGACACUCAAGCAGCCUAUAGACAGGCCCAUGUGGUGAAGAACUAUGACAACCAGAACUACCCCUGGAUUCCUGACCCACAGAAACUAUCUGAUUUGACUUGGAUUUCACUUACCAGUGAAAAAGACCAGUCUGAAAUGGACCAGAGAUGAGCAAUGGAGGGAGACGAAAUUUCUGAUGGCGUACCAGUUCCUGCAUCCAGCUGUUCCUGAAACCCAGCCAGGUCCCGCCUUUAAUAAUAGCAGGGGCAGCAGCAACAACAAACAUUUACUGAAUGCCUAUAAUAAAUCCCACCUUUUGCUAAUUUAGCUCCUCUUACUUGCGACCGAGAAAGUCUUAAAGAGCCCAAUAUCCAUUGCAACAAUAUCUGGAAGGGGAGAGAAUGUGCUAAGGGAAUGUGCUAAGGGAACGAAAUUUAAAUCAAGGUUUACAAAAAGACACAAGUGGGAAAUCAUGCAAGACUGUAACUGAGUCAUGCAUAAAUUUUGCCUAGACCUUCUCUGUGCUUAGGGCCCCUUGUGCGGGGAGCACAGCCCCACAGGGAGGCGUUCAUGGAUCGGAUGCCAAACAGAUUCAGGCAGGGGGAACGGGCGAAGAAGACAAAGCAAGGCACAUUUCCGAAAGCUUUCUGAAUCUUUAAAAUUAGGACCUAAAUCUAUCUUCUUAUCAAGAAUGGCAGGGGUGGGAGAUGGCG